rnacentral:lncRNA from 1 species
CCAUUUCUCUUACAUUAGCUUCUUUCUACAGGAUGUUUGUAGUUUUCCUAAAGCUGUAUUCCUCUUCAUUUCUGUAUUUUCAGAAACUGUUUGUUGCCAUCCUGUGCUCGGAAAAGAGUGUGUAUAAGCUUGCCCUCGGGCCACCUCCCAUUCACAAUCUUGCACAUGCUGGACUUACGCAAGCCAAGUGAAGAAUAAAAAAGUCUCCUCUGGAGAAAUGGGUGGGAUACGCCUAGGUUGGGGUAGCCAGUGGCUACAAAACUGUUCUUGUCUAACAAGUUGUCAGAAGUGGCUUGUGAAAUCCGAUGAGAUGAAGUCCAUGCUCUGCAUAUGGACAGUACACGCAUUUCUUGAAGUAACUAAUUCCAACCUGGUUAAGCAGCCUUCAGACUCACAGAAGGUGCUUGCAGUGACAAAUGUAAGUAGGUUCUUCCUUGUCUUUGUGCUUGUUUACGUUGUCACUUCUUUCCUUUCCACCUCCAUAUUCUCCUGUUAUAUCCUACUUUCCAACAGCCUGAUGUUUUUGCCUUCCCAUACCUUUAAUAGUUGUAAGUUAACAGGGGAAUGAAUCGGUAACUUGCAACAUCCAGGUUUUGCUGUAAUUUCUGACAGCUAGGGAAUAUCUGAACACAGAACACAAUACCCUAAUAUCUAAGGAUGGAAAAGCAGUUAAAAGGACAUUGAAUCGAAGAGAAGUAAAGUGACACAGAAACUAACAAGCAAGUGUUAGAUAGGCAAGUAAGUGUAAAGCUGAAGUUACACCAGUGCCAGUUAAUGAGUUUCUAAUAAGGUAUGCAGAUGGUAUCCAGGAGGGCUGUGCCUGCAGGGAGUGUAGGUCCUAAUACGCAUCAGCAGCUUCAUGAAAGAAGAUGCAGAAACAUUUGUGUGACAAAUGGGUUGUUAAACCUGGUGCCACUGGUGGAGAAAGAGCUCCUUUACCUCCAUCAUUUAAUUAAAAAUGUUCUACUUGGGUAGUUUGUUCUACAUAGGGAGUUUGUUCUACAUAGGUAGUUUUUGCUGUGGGCUUUAAGAUGUAAGAUAUUGGACUCGCUGCAUGUGAUAACAUUGCAUCAACAAUGAGCCUGUUCUCUAGUGUGCCCGGGCAGAUCUUUCAUUCAGGACAAAGGAAGUGUGGUCUGUGUUAAAGAUAUAGUUCAACUUUCAUAAUAAAGCAAUGUGAAUGAUGAAUGAAGGCA